UACAGAGGGUGCAAGCGUUAAUCGGAAUUACUGGGCGUAAAGCGUGCGUAGACGGUUGCGUAAGUCAGAUGUGAAAGCCCCGGGCUCAACCUGGGAAUUGCAUUUGAGACUGCGUAGCUAGGGUGCGGAAGAGGGAAGCGGAAUUUCCGGUGUAGCGGUGAAAUGCGUAGAUAUCGGAAGGAACACCUGCGGCGAAGGCGGGUUGCUGGGCCGACACUGACGCUGAGGCGCGAAAGCUAGGGGAGCGAACGGG
rnacentral:rRNA from 1 species